UCCCUUAAAUAGGCUGUAUGUGGGCUGAGAAAGUGAGGAGGAAAACAUGGUAGACACUUCUCAACAAACAUGGGGGCGGGACUCUGGCAACUACCAUUUGGAAUAUGGGGAUAUUUGUCACCGGCCCCUGGCUUUGGGGUUUCAGCUGAAGGACUGCUCUUCCCACCCUUUACAUAGAUGAGCAAGUACUGUAUGUGCAUGAGAUUAACUCCUUCCUGAGCACAAGGGCCCCAAUCUCUACUUUUUUCUACUUUCACCUACAGCCACUGGGAGAGAGGGAGGCAGUGAAGCCAAGGAGCUAGGAGCCCAGGCUCUGGAAUCAUAGAGACACAAGUUCAAGUCCCUGCUCACACUUAGUCAGCUUUGGGUCUCAGUAGUGCUUUCAAGUAAGAAUGAUGUUCCAUGAAGAAAAAGCGGCUAUUUCUGCUUGACACACAUACCAUCACACAAGUGCUUUUCCUUGACGUGGGCACUGUACUUCGGACUCCACGUGGAAGAGCCAGGCUGGCAGACAUUGUCACCGACCACUUGAGGAAUAGAAGCAAAGACCUCGAAAUCUGCAAAACGCAGCGAAAUUGAUCUCGAAAAGAAUAUCCCGGCAUCUGGUAAGGUGGACUUCCGUUUCCUAUUUUUCAACAACACCGUGCUUUUUGUUUCAUGUAUUGAUCUGACCGACGUUUACUGGGUUCCUAGUGUGUCCAGGCGUUAUGCCAGGGUCCCGAGUAUAAUCAGGUGUGGACCUCACCUGGGAAGAGCUUACAGUCUAACGAUGGUGAGAGAGAGGAAGAAGCAGGCAGAA